UAGCAUUCCUUCAUACCAUCCCCACCUAUAAGCAGCACAAGGGCAAGCAUUAGUAGCAAACCCAAGGCCAUUGUACAGGAGAGACAGUCAUUCUUAUCUAGGGACAGCGAGAUCAUGGAGGAAAGUCAAUCCCUCCGCUCGCAAAGCAUUCUGCAUCCGAGAGCACAAGCAACUUCCCAUGUGCCAAAGUAGCCAGAAAGGCAUACCAGGUACACGACAGCCACUAUAUGGUUCAUCCAAUGCCACCAUUGAUGGGGAAAAGAUGAAUAGCUUUAAGCAUCAAAAUUAGAUUCCACUAUGUGGGUAUGCAGCACAGAAACCCAUCCUUGCCCGACAUAGCAACAUGCCUUCGGGACACCACUGANUGGCCUCAAGGUAAACAGUUCGAUGCGCAAGCAUGGAGCCUGCCAACCCCAACAACC
rnacentral:misc_RNA from 1 species